AGUUCCUUCAAGGUAACUCUGGUCUGUUCUUCACCAAUCUUCCAAGGGAUGAUGUUGAGAGGAUGUUUCGAGAAUUUGAGGAGCAUGAUUUUGCAAGGACAGGAUGUACUGCGGUAGAUACGGUUGAGCUUAAGGAAGGCCCUCUGGAACAGUUCACACAUGAGAUGGAGCCCUUUCUACGCAAGCAAGGACUUCCAGUUCGCUUGAACAAAGGUGUCGUAGAGUUAGUUGCAGACCAUGUAGUUUGUGAGGAAGGGAAGCCCCUUUCGCCCAG